UACGUAGGGGGCAAGCGUUGUCCGGAUUUAUUGGGCGUAAAGAGCGUGUAGGCGGCCAGACAGGUCCGUUGUGAAAACUCGAGGCUCAACCUCGAGAUGUCGAUGGAAACCGUCUGGCUAGAGUCCGGAAGAGGAGUGUGGAAUUCCUGGUGUAGCGGUGAAAUGCGUAGAGAUCAUGAGGAAGACCAGUGGCGAAGGCGGGUCUCUGGACAGUUCCUGACACUGAGGCACGAAGGCCAGGGGAGCAAACGGG
rnacentral:rRNA from 1 species